rnacentral:rRNA from 1 species
UAGGGAAUCUUCCACAAUGGACGCAAGUCUGAUGGAGCAACGCCGCGUGAGUGAGGAAGGUUUUCGGCUCGUAAAGCUCUGUUGUUGGUGAAGUAGGAUAGAGGCAGUAACUGGUCUUUAUUUGACGGUAAUCAACCAGAAAGUCACGGCUAACUACGUGCCAGCAGCCGCGGUAAUACGUAGGUGGCAAGCGUUGUCCGGAUUUAUUGGGCGUAAAGCGAGCGCAGGCGGAAUGAUAAGUCUGAUGUGAAAGCCCACGGCUCAACCGUGGAACUGCAUCGGAAACUGUCAUUCUUGAGUGCAGAAGAGGAGAGUGGCAUUCCAUGUGUAGCGGUGGAAUGCGUAGAUAUAUGGAAGAACACCAGUGGCGAAGGCGGCUCUCUGGUCUGCAACUGACGCUGAGGCUCGAAAGCAUGGGUAGCGAACAGG